UCUCUACACGUGCUUCCGUUCCUCCUA
rnacentral:piRNA from 1 species